UACGUAGGGUGCGAGCGUUAAUCGGAAUUACUGGGCGUAACGCGUGCGCAGGCGGCUUUGCAAGACAGAUGUGAAAUCCCCGGGCUCAACCUGGGAACUGCAUUUGUGACUACAAGGCUAGAGUACGGCAGAGGGGGAUGGAAUUCCGCGUGUAGCAGUGAAAUGCGUAGAUAUGCGGAGGAACACCAAUGGCGAAGGCAAUCCCCUGGGCCUGUACUGACGCUCAUGCACGAAAGCGUGGGGAGCAAACAGG
rnacentral:rRNA from 1 species